rnacentral:rRNA from 1 species
UACGUAGGGCGCAAGCGUUGUCCGGAAUUAUUGGGCGUAAAGAGCUCGUAGGCGGUCUGUCGCGUCGGAUGUGAAAGCCCGGGGCUUAACCCCGGGUCUGCAUUCGAUACGGGCAGACUAGAGUGUGGUAGGGGAGAUCGGAAUUCCUGGUGUAGCGGUGAAAUGCGCAGAUAUCAGGAAGAACACCCGUGGCUAAGGCGGUUCUCUAGUACGGUACUGACGCUGAGACGCGAAAGCGUGGGGAGCGAACAGG